AUUGAACGCUGGCGGCAGGCCUAACACAUGCAAGUCGAGCGGAGCGGCUGAUGGGUGAGUAAUGCCUAGGAAUCUGCCUGGUAGUGGGGGAUAACGUCCGGAACAGGGCGCUAAUACCGCAUACUAUCAGAUGAGCCUAGGUCGGAUUAGCUAGUUGGUGGGGUAAAGGCCUACCUAGGCGACGAUCCGUAACUGGUCUGAGAGGAUGAUCAGUCACCCUGGAACUGGGACACGGCCCAGACUCCUACGGGAGUCAGCAGUGGGGAAUGUUUGCCAAUGGGCGAAAGCCUGAUCCAGCCAUGCCGCGUGUGUGAAGAAGGUCUUCGGAUUGUAAAGCACUUUAAGUUGGUAGGCGUUACCAACAGAAUAAGCACCGGCUAACUUCGUGCCAGCAGCCGCGGUAAUAC
rnacentral:rRNA from 1 species